UACGGGGGGAGCAAGCGUUGUUCGGAUUUACUGGGCGUAAAGGGCGCGUAGGCGGUCGUGACAAGUCACUUGUGAAAUCUCCGGGCUUAACUCGGAACGGUCAAGUGAUACUGUCGGACUAGAGUACAGAAGGGGCAACUGGAAUUCUCGGUGUAGCGGUGAAAUGCGUAGAUAUCAAGAGGAACACCAAUAGCGAAGGCAGCUCGCUGGGACGGUACUGACGCUAAGGCGCGAAAGCGUGGGGACCGAACAGG
rnacentral:rRNA from 1 species